ACGGGUGAGUAAUACAUCGGAACGUGCCCGAUCGUGGGGGAUAACGGAGCGAAAGCUUUGCUAAUACCGCAUACGAUCUACGGAUGAAAGCAGGGGACCGCAAGGCCUUGCGCGGACGGAGCGGCCGAUGGCAGAUUAGGUAGUUGGUGGGAUAAAAGCUUACCAAGCCGACGAUCUGUAGCUGGUCUGAGAGGACGACCAGCCACACUGGGACUGAGACACGGCCCAGACUCCUACGGGAGGCAGCAGUGGGGAAUUUUGGACAAUGGGCGAAAGCCUGAUCCAGCCAUGCCGCGUGCAGGAUGAAGGCCUUCGGGUUGUAAACUGCUUUUGUACGGAACGAAAAGACUCCUUCUAAUAAAGGGGGUCCAUGACGGUACCGUAAGAAUAAGCACCGGCUAACUACGUGCCAGCAGCCGCGGUAAUACGUAGGGUGCAAGCGUUAAUCGGAAUUACUGGGCGUAAAGCGUGCGCAGGCGGUUAUGUAAGACAGAUGUGAAAUCCCCGGGCUCAACCUGGGAACUGCAUUUGUGACUGCAUAGCUAGAGUACGGUAGAGGGGGAUGGAAUUCCGCGUGUAGCAGUG
rnacentral:rRNA from 1 species